AACGAACGCUGGCGGCGUGGCUAAGACAUGCAAGUCGAACGGUAGGUUAUAGCAAUAUGGCCUAUAGUGGCGGACGGGUGAGUAAUAAAUAGGUAACGUACCCGUGGGCACGGGGAUAGCGUCGUCCCGAGCAAUCGGGGCUUUGCGAAAGUGACGGUAAUACCCGGUAAUGUCCUCGAGUGGCAUCGCUUGAGGACCAGAGGUGGGGACCUUCGGGCCUAUCGGCCUGGGAGCGGCCUAUUUCCUANCAGCUAGUUGGUGAGGUAACGGCUCACCAAGGCUUCGACGGGUAACCGGACUGAGAGGUCGGCCGGUCACAUCGGGACUGAGACACUGCCCGGACAUCUACGGAUGGCUGCAGUAACGAAUA
rnacentral:rRNA from 1 species